rnacentral:rRNA from 1 species
UCCACGCCGUAAACGAUGCCUACUAGGCUGUGGAAGUUCUGACGCUUUCACCGUCGAAGCAAAAGUGCUAAGUAGGCCGCCUGGGGAGUACGGUCGCAAGGCUAAAACUCAAAGGAAUUGACGGGGGCUCACACAAGCGGUGGAGCAUGUGGAUCAAUUCGAAGCAACGCGCAGAACCUUACCUGGGUUUGACAUGCUUGGAUGCCCGGCUGGAAACAGUUUGGGCUGCCCUUCGGGGUGAAACUUGCACAGGUGCUGCAUGGCUGUCGUCAGCUCGUGUCGUGAGAUGUCGGGUUAAGUCCCUUAACGAGCGAAACCCUUGCCGUUAGUUGCCAGCGGGUCAUGCCGGGGACUCUAACGGGACUGCCGGUGUCAAACCGGAGGAAGGCGGGGAUGACGUCAAGUCAUCAUGGCCUUUAUGCCCAGGGCCUCACACGUGCUACAAUGGC